ACACGCCUAUGCAAGGUUAUGAUG
rnacentral:siRNA from 1 species